AGCUCCAAUAGCGUAUAUUAAAGUUGUUGCAGUUAAAAAGCUCGUAGUUGGAUUUCUGGAUCGAACGCUUCGUCCGCCGCUGUGCGGUGUGUACUGAGGUUUUGUUUCGAUUCAUCCUUGCAGGGAAGCGAGUUCGAGAUUAAUUUGUCGGCUCGGGGAACUGCAUCUUUUACUGUGAAAAAUUAGAGUGUUUAAAGCAGGCAUUUUGCUGUGAAUACAUUAGCAUGGAAUAAUAACAUAGGACUUUGGUUCUAUUUUGUUGGUUGGAGGCCAAGGUAAUGAUUAAUAGGGACAGUUGGGGGUAUUCAUAUUUAAUUGUCAGAGGUGAAAUUCUUGGAUUUAUGAAAGAUGAACUCAUGCGAAAGCAUUUACCAAGGAUGUUUUCA
rnacentral:rRNA from 1 species